UACGUAGGCAGCAAACGUUGUUCGGAAUUACUGGGCGUAAAGAGUGUGUAGGCGGUUCUGUAAGUUUGGUGUGAAAUCUCCCGCUUAACUGGGAGGGUGCGCCGAAAACUGCAAGGCUUGAGUGCUGGAGAGGAUAGCGGAAUUCCUGGUGUAGCGGUGAAAUGCGCAGAUAUCAGGAAGAACACCCGUGGCGAAAGCGGCUCUCUGGAACGGUACUGACGCUGAGACGCGAAAAGCGUGGGGGAGCGAACAGGG
rnacentral:rRNA from 1 species